ACACAUUGACAUUGGGAUGGGGAUCUCUUGUGUCCCCUCUUUAUGUUUUAAUUAAUUAUAAGUAUUUUUCUUUUCUUUUUAAAAUUUCAUGUUUAGCACAUUAAAUUUAUUUUUUUCUUUUGUUACUGUCAUUAUUUUUUUUAAUAAUUAAAUCAAAUUUCUAUAUUAAAAUUCACAUAAGCAGACGUGGUAACAUAUAGGCUCAAUUGAUGAUCCCAAUUUUUUAAUGUGGCAGAGAUACAAAUGUGAAAACUUCUUGUAAAAAUAAUUAAUUUUGAACAUAUAACUUCAUAAUUAUAAAGAGUGCAUGCUAAGAAUUUGAAGGUUAAACUUGUUAAACAUAAAUUCUGAAUAUAUUUUUCUUUGUAAGAAAAUAUCUAUUUUCUUAAGAUCCUAGAUACACCUUUAAUUAUGACAUGUUUUAAUUGAACAUCAAAAAUCAAAACACAUGAUAAAGUGACAAUUUCAUAAAUCCUCCUCCUUAUCUAAUUUCCUAAUUAAUGUAAACUCCCUUAUGAGGUGUGAUACUAUACUUACUUCCUUCAUUUUAUUUUUUUAAUAUCUAUUUUCAACUUUAUUAAUGUGAAUAGUUAUGCUUCAUGUAGUAAAUUUGGUAAUUAAAACUACAAAAAAUUGAAGUUAAAUCACAAAUUUCACUGUCGCUACUCGUUAAAUUGCUCAUACCUAAUUAACAUCAUGAUUUUUUCAC
rnacentral:lncRNA from 1 species